rnacentral:tRNA from 7 species
GGAGGGAUUCCCGAGCGGCCAAAGGGAACAGACUGUAAAUCUGUCGUCAGCGACUUCGGAGGUUCGAAUCCUCCUCCCUCCACCA